UUAAAUUAGAGUUUGAUCCUAGCUCAGGGUGAAUGCUGGCGGCGUGGAUGAGGCAUGCAAGUCGAGUGGGUUUAGACCCACGGCAGACGAGGUAGGAACACGUAGGUACGUACCCCAGAGUCAGGGAUAAUCUGCCGAAAGUCAGGAUAAUACUUGAUAGUCCGAGCACCUUUUUAGGUUGUCUUUACAAAUGAGUGAAGAUUGCCCGCGAGGUGAGUUACACUUUUCAAACAAGAUUACUUGAAAAGGUGCUCGGUAAAGAUUUAUCGCUCUCUGAACGGCCUGCGUUCUAUCAGCUUGUU
rnacentral:rRNA from 1 species